rnacentral:rRNA from 1 species
UACGGAGGUGGGCCAGCGUCGUUCGGUUCGAUUUGGAUGGCGUAAAGAGCUCGUAGGCGGUUUGGAUAGUCGGGGUGUGAAAACUCCGAGCUCAACUCGGAGACGCCACCCGAUACUGCCAUGACUAGAGUCCGGUAGGGGGAGCAGGGAAUUCCUGGUGUAGCGGUGAAAUGCGCAGAUAUCAGGAGGAACACCGGUGGCGAAGGCGCUGCUCUGGGCCGGUACUGACGCUGAGGAGCGAAAGCGUGGGUAGCAAACAGGG